rnacentral:rRNA from 1 species
AUUGAACGCUGGCGGCAGGCUUAACACAUGCAAGUCGAGCGGGGAGAUGUAGCUUGCUACAUAUCCUAGCGGCGGACGGGUGAGUAAUGCUUAGGAAUCUGCCUAUUAGUGGGGGACAACAUUCCGAAAGGAAUGCUAAUACCGCAUACGCCCUACGGGGGAAAGCAGGGGAUCUUCGGACCUUGCGCUAAUAGAUGAGCCUAAGUCGGAUUAGCUAGUUGGUGGGGUAAGGGCCUACCAAGGCGACGAUCUGUAGCGGGUCUGAGAGGAUGAUCCGCCACACUGGGACUGAGACACGGCCCAGACUCCUACGGGAGGCAGCAGUGGGGAAUAUUAGACAAUGGGCGCAAGCCUGAUCCAGCAAGGCCGCGUGUGUGAAGAAGGCCUUUUGGUUGUAAAGCACGUUAAGCGAGGAGGAGGCUCCUUUAGUUAAUACCUAAAGAGAGUGGACGUUACUCGCAGAAUAAGCACCGGCUAACUCUGUG